AGACAUUAAAAUUAUAUUUUUCUCACAUAUUAUUCCUCUGUGAAUUACCUGAGGCCGAGGCCUUGAUCAUUUUGUCAGGCAAGAAAUUCCAGUCUGAAUACAGACCAGCACAACUUGUGGCUUGGACAACAAAAGCCUUGGACCACAAGGACUUCGGAUACCUGGAAAAACAUGGAGAGAACAUGGGGACAGCUGCUGGCUGUGUAAAUCUAGAAGAAUUCCUGAUUUAUAGACAAAACAGAUCAGAAGAGACAGGAUUCCCACAGGCCUCUCUCUCACUGUCAGUAGCAGCAGAGUUAACCAUCAAUGUGGCCUGA
rnacentral:lncRNA from 1 species